ACGGGAGGCAGCAGUGAGGAAUAUUGGUCAAUGGGCGCGAGCCUGAACCAGCCAAGUAGCGUGAGGGAUGACUGCCCUAUGGGUUGUAAACCUCUUUUGUUCGGGAAUAAAGUGCGGGACGUGUCCCGCUUUGCAUGUACCGUUCGAAUAAGCAUCGGCUAAUUCCGUGCCAGCAGCCGCGGUAAUACGGAAGAUGCGAGCGUUAUCCGGAUUUAUUGGGUUUAAAGGGAGCGUAGGCGGCCUUUUAAGUCAGCGGUCAAAUGUCAGCGCCCAACGCUGGCCUGCCGUUGAUACUGUUAGGCUUGAAUACACACAAGGAAGGUGGAAUUCGUCGUGUAGCGGUGAAAUGCUUAGAUAUGACGAAGAACUCCGAUUGCGAAGGCAGCCUCCUGGAGUGCGAUUGACGCUGAGGCUCGAAAGCGCGGGUAUCAAACAGGAUUAGAUACCCUGGUA
rnacentral:rRNA from 1 species